rnacentral:rRNA from 1 species
UACAGAGGUCUCAAGCGUUGUUCGGAUUCAUUGGGCGUAAAGGGUGCGUAGGCGGCGUGGUAAGUCGGGUGUGAAAUCUCGGAGCUUAACUCCGAAACUGCAUUCGAUACUGCCGUGCUUGAGGACUGGAGAGGAGACUGGAAUUUACGGUGUAGCAGUGAAAUGCGUAGAUAUCGUAAGGAAGACCAGUGGCGAAGGCGGGUCUCUGGACAGUUCCUGACACUGAGGCACGAAGGCCAGGGGAGCAAACGGG